ACGCUCAUCAACUAUCAGCGCCAAAAUGGCGAAAAUCAAGUUGUUUCAAAAGCAGGUCGGCAAUUGCAAGUCCAGCAUACUUGUAUGUAGUAGAUCAGUGGUUUCUUUCCACACCUUUUAUUCACAGCAUCCCGUCCGCGCGUCCAGGGCGCUUACUACAUAAGUUCCAUAAGCGAAAGCUCAAUAACUUGAACAUUCAGAUUCAUUCAAUUUAGGCAUUCCAAACAUCUACCAACUACCCACCGAGAAUUUGAAAAUUAUUACCAUUAGUCUUCAACCUUUUUUUUCUCAGACAACACCGCCAUUUUACACUCAAUAUUACGUAUUUAUUUAUUUACCAUAUUUAUAGUCUAUAAUAAUAUUAUUAUUAUUUGUUACCUUGAAAAAUUAAUUCGUUUUUGUACAUUUUAUCAAAUUAUUAUUAAAAUAAAAAUUACAGCACCUAGAUUCUAUCGAUUAUAAAUGAAUAAAUGCUCCUAUAUGCAGUUACUUAUAACGCUCUUUACAUAAAAUCCUACUUUCAACUUCUUUAACUCGUAAAGAAGUAAAAAGAAAUAGGAAUUGUGCUGUCACUUUGAAUCAUUUUUAUUACUUUUUUGAAUAAAAAGUAGGUAAUUUCAUAUCAAUUUGGAAAAAAGCGGCUACGGGGGUAGGGACCAGGUCCCAGCCGGAAAAUUGAUAUAACAGCAUGGAUAAUUUUAUUGAGAAAUUGCAUGUUCUACUAAUAUGAGUUAUUUGGCUUUAUCUAUAGAAAUAAAAGGGGAAACUGACUGACUGGUCAAAUCGCUGGGUCUAGAAACUUGAGAUUUUACAUUUAGACCCUCACUGAGAAAUGAUUUGAGGAUAGUAAGAAAAAAAAAUUCGUUUUGGAUACUAUUUUUUUUAAAUGUAUUGAAAAACAUGUGUAUGUAAAAUGUGAAAGUAAUUAUGAACUAUAACAGAUUAACGUAUAAAAAAAAUACACUAUUACUUUCUAAUAUGUAACGAUUAAUAUUAUUUUACUCGUAAUUUAUGUCAAGAAAAAAAUAAAAAGAUUCUGACUACAAGUAUUGGUGUUACCAUAUUAUCAUAACUAAUUAAUAUUCUACUAAUUCAUAAUAUUUUUUUAAAUCUAAAUUACAUAAUGAAGAGACUACGCGAUUUUGUGAUCGUAAUAAUUCGUUACUAGAUUUGAUAUUACGCUAACUAAAAAUUGUAGAAAAAUAACGCCUUUUUUUGCAACGAUUACGUUAUUACGAUGAACAUAUUAUUUUAGCCCCAAAGUUAUGCAAGUUUUGCCACAAAAUAUUUUUCAAAGUCAAAAUCUUUUAUUCAAAGAAGUUACAAUUUGAAAAAUAAAUUUGAAAAUACAUUUCAUUUAUAGCCAUUUCUUUUACGAAAUGGACAUUACAUUACAAGAUUUAAAUCGCGUAGUUUCUUACAUAUUUCUAUUACGUAAAUCACUUUCUGCAGUUUCUUUUUUUUUUUCAGAAAUAGGCACCUGCACGUAAUGUGGACUAGUUAAAUAAGAUUAUAAAGAAUUUUAGACUACAUUUAGUUAAAAAAAUCUAAGUUAGUUAACUUUGUUCGAUUUGAGAUCAGGAAAAUUUGCACCCAACUGACCGUGCGUAUGAUAUGAAAAAUGCAAUCAGGAUUUUAAAAAAAGAGAGAAAAUUGUACUAUUUUAAACAAAUGCAAAUUUGAAAUGUUUAUUUAAAUUUAAUAAGUAUAAAUAAUACUGUUAACUUAUUUAAAUUUUGUAACAUAAUUCUAAA